rnacentral:rRNA from 1 species
UACGGGGGGGGCAAGCGUUGUUCGGAAUUACUGGGCGUAAAGGGCUCGUAGGUGGCCAACUAAGUCAGACGUGAAAUCCCUCGGCUUAACCGGGGAACUGCGUCUGAUACUGGAUGGCUUGAGUUUGGGAGAGGGAUGCGGAAUUCCAGGUGUAGCGGUGAAAUGCGUAGAUAUCUGGAGGAACACCGGUGGCGAAGGCGGCGUCCUGGACCAACACUGACACUGAGGAGCGAAAGCCGGGGGAGCAAACGGG